UACAGGGGGGACUAGUGUUAUUUUUCUUUAUUUGGCGUAAAGGGUGUCUAUAUGGUUUACAGGUAUACUGCUUGAAAUACUAAAAGAAAUCUUAGUUAGUAGGUUAAGUAUAUUUGAUGAACUUGAGUUUAUAUGGGAUAUUAAAAUUUUUGUUGUAGAGGUAAAAUUCCUAAACAAUAAAAGGAAUACCAAGGGCGAAAGCAAGUAUCUAUGUACAACUGACAUUAAAGCACGUAGGUGUAGGUAUCAA
rnacentral:rRNA from 1 species